rnacentral:rRNA from 1 species
GAUGAACGCUGGCGGCGUGCCUAAUACAUGCAAGUCGAGCGAAUGGAUUAAGAGCUUGCUCUUAUGAAGUUAGCGGCGGACGGGUGAGUAACACGUGGGUAACCUGCCCAUAAGACUGGGAUAACUCCGGGAAACCGGGGCUAAUACCGGAUAACAUUUUGAACCGCAUGGUUCGAAAUCGAAAGGCGGCUUCGGCUGUCACUUAUGGAUGGACCCGCGUCGCAUUAGCUAGUUGGUGAGGUAACGGCUCACCAAGGCAACGCUGCGUAGCCGACCUGAGAGGGCGAUCGGCCACACUGGGACUGAGACACGGCCCAGACUCCUACGGGAGGCAGCAGUAGUGAAUCUUCCGCAAUGGACGAAAGUCUGACGGAGCAACGCCGCGUGAGUGAUGAAGGCUUUCGGGUCGUAAAACUCUGUUGUUAGGGAAGAACAAGUGCUAGUUGAAUAAGCUGGCACCUUGACGGUACCUAACCAGAAAGCCACGGCUAACUACGUGCCAGCAGCCGCAGUAA